rnacentral:rRNA from 1 species
CCAAGACUAUGAUCAGUAGGGGGCCUAAGAGGGCGUACCCCCACACUGGUACUGAGACACGGACCAGACUUCUACGGAAGGCAGCAGUGAGGAAUAUUGGUCAAUGGAGGAAACUCUGAACCAGCUACGCCGUGUGCAGGAUGACAGUCUUUUAGGUUGUAAACUGCUUUUGUAUAGAAAUAAAACUCCUACGUGAUAGGAGCUUGAAGGUACUAUACGAAUAAGUGUCGGCUAAUUCCGUGCCAGCAGCCGCGGCAAUACGGGAGACACAAGCGUUAUUCGGAUUUAUUGGGUUUAAAGGGUGUGUAGGCUGUUUAUUAAGUCAGUAGUGAAAGCUUACAGCUUAACUGUAAAAUUGCUAUUGAUACUGGUAAACUUGAGUAAGAUUGGAGCAUCUGGAAUGUAUGGUGUAGCGGUGAAAUGCAUAGAUAUCAUACAGAACACCGAUAGCGAAGGCAGGCUGCUAAAUCUUUAUUGACGCUGAGUGCACGAAAGCGUGGGUAGCAAACAGGAUUAGAUACCCUGGUAGUCCACGCCCUAAACGAUGAUCACUAGCUAUUGGAAAAACGAUAUUCAGUGGCUUAGCGAAAGCGAUAAGUGAUCCACCUGGGAAGUACAGUCGCAAGAUUGAAACUCAAAGGAAUUGACGGGGGUUCGCACAAGCGGUGGAGCAUGUGGUUUAAUUCGAUGAUACGCGAGGAACCUUACCAAGGCUUAAAUGUAUUACGAAUAAGCUGGAAACAGUUUAGUCUGUACGACGUAUUACAAGGUGCUGCAUGGUUGUCUUCAGUUCGUGCUGUGAAGUGUUUGGUUAAGUCCUAUAACGAGCGCAACCCCUAUUGUUAGUUGCCAUCGGGUAAAGCCGGGGACUCUAACAAAACUGCCAGUGUAAACUGUGAGGAAGGU